rnacentral:rRNA from 1 species
GACGAACGCUGGCGGCGUGCUUAACACAUGCAAGUCGAACGGAAAGGCCCUGCUUUUGUGGGGUGCUCGAGUGGCGAACGGGUGAGUAACCCGUGAGUAACCUGCCCUUGACUUUGGGAUAACUUCAGGAAACUGGGGCUAAUACCGGAUAGGAGCUCCUGCUGCAUGGUGGGGGUUGGAAAGUUUCGGCGGUUGGGGAUGGACUCGCGGCUUAUCAGCUUGUUGGUGGGGUAGUGGCUUACCAAGGCUUUGACGGGUAGCCGGCCUGAGAGGGUGACCGGCGACCAUGGGACUGAGAUACGGCCCAGACUCGUACGGGAGGCAGCAGUGGGGAAUAUUGCACAAUGGGCGGAAGCCUGAUGCAGAAGCGCCGCGUGCGGGAUGACGGCCUUCGGGUUGUAAACCGCUUUCGCCUGUGACGAAGCGUGAGUGACGGUAAUGGGUAAAGAAGCACCGGCUAACUACGUG